rnacentral:lncRNA from 1 species
AACUUUCACCCCGCCUGGCAGCCCGCUGAGAGCGAGAGAAAACCACGUGCACCAAACUUUAGGGGAGGAAAAAUGGGAACGUGGGGAGAAGACGUGAGGCGGCAGAUCUGAAAAAGAUGGUAGGUGGAGGGACCCCAGGGAUUCACCCUGGCCUCGGACUAAUCCUAUGGGGCGCUUGCAAACCCCGGCCAUCCCCUGGAGUCUGAAGGUACGGCCAAGUCCUGAUCCCACACGGUUCACUGGUUCCCGGCGGGCUGCGCUCGGCGCGGGGAGUGGCCGGGGGCCCAGAGACGGAGCCAGUGUCAGGCCCGGGCCCUGUCUGGCCUCCCUCCUGCUCCCCACUGCGUGGGGGCUGGGGGUGGGCUUCCUGAGCCGAGGGUAGAAGGUGGGGAGGCCCCUUCAGGGCUUUGUGAACGGUCACCCCCUGGCGCGCACUGCCUCCCUCUGCGGAAAGGGAAUUUCCCGUAAAGUGCUCUGCGAACCAGUGAAGAAGGGGCCCAAGGCCAGAGCCAUGCGGGCAAAGUGAAGUGCAAAGUUGAGGCAAUUAUCCGGACAAAUUAGAUUGUAAACAAAACCCCGCGUCUCUGAACAUCGCUUUUGCCCAGGGGGACUGGAGGGAUUGUGGUGGUGGCGGCGAUGGUGUGUUUGGGUUGGGAGGGGGAGGUCUGGGUGAGGAAAUGCCCACGGCCCAAGGGGGAGGGCUGUGUUGUUAGCAGACGCACCACUCAGAGUCCCGUGGAAAUCUCAAUACCCGUCCCCCUCCCCGCCCCACACACGCCGGAAACAUCUCCCAUCUGUCUGCAUGUGUUGGGGGUGGGGAGAAGUGAAGGAGGCCUCAGGGGUCCUCAUGAAGUACCCCAACCCAGCUCAGUGAUGCCGGGUCCCCAUGACCAAGGGAGGAUCCUGUUGUGGGAUCAGGACAAGAAGACAGUGGCUCUUGAAGCCUCUCCUGGCCCUAAAUCCUCAGGCAGGUGGACAAGAGGCUGGCAUAGUAUGUGAGCCCCUGUGGAGUGGGAGCUGGAAGCCUGAGGUGUGGGGUCGGAGCUGCAAGGAUUGAUGCUUAGUUGCCUGGGGGGAGGGGAUUUCUUGGCCGUUCCAGUGGUCCUUGAAAGAAAAGGGGACCUCAGAGAGGAGGCACCCUCUUGGGUUGUUUUUCAUCACUUCUGUCCCUUUUCUGCAAUGUUAGUGACACCUGCACAGGUCCACAUUUUAUGUAUUUGCCUUUUUGGGCAGGUGGGACAGGCAUACUUAGGUCCUGCUGGAGCGUUUUAGAUUUCUAGGUGUGAAAUUGUGCAGGGAAGACUCUAAGUGCCAUUUAUGUGGAUAUCUCAGUGUCCUUUCCAGUGUGGCAACUGAGAUAACCAUAGCCAUAAGAAUAAAAUAACAGCUAACAUCUGAGUCGUACCACCCACCAGCCAUUUAAUCUUCACAGUAACCCCAGGAGGGAGAUAUUUGUAUUAUCUCCAUUUUAUAGAAGAGGAAACUGAGGCACAAAGAGAUCAAGUAACUUGCCCAGGCUUACACAGCUGCUGGUCAGUGAUGAGCCAGAUUCCAACUAGAGCCACUUCAGUGAGGACAAGAAAGAAGCUCAUGGUGGUCUCUGAAGCGACACUGCCUGCUUGUGGGUUAGCUGAGGGGAAGGAUAUUCUGGGAGAAAGAAAGCCCUUGGUAGUACUAUCUGAUUUACCUUCUGUUGAGGCCCAGCUCUGGUGGAAAUCAUGGUGUGUGGACAGCCCUAGGCCAAGCCUGGAGUGGCAAGUCCUUGUGUCAGACCAGCUGGGCCAGUGACUAUGUCCUCAGUUCUCCUUCCUAUCCUUCUUGCAGCAAAGGCUGAGGGUGGGGUGAGAACUAGGGGCUUUGGAGACAAAAGAGAGAAUUUCUGUAGGGGGGUAUUGAAUGAGGUGACCUCCGAGGGGCUUCUCCAGCCCUUUUCUGGCUGGUUCACUGAAUGUUUUUCCCAUCCCCUUCCUGCAGCAGCCCUUGUACCUUACACAUGGGCUCACUUGCCCAGAGGGAUUGCCCUGGGAAAUGCUUCACUUUCAGUUCAGUUUACCCCUCAUCUCCAGGCCAGUUCAGUUCCCAGCUCCCUGUGAGCUACAGUGGGGGCUCAAGGCAUCAAAAGACCCUGUCUUGUCUUCACCUAAAGGGCAUUUUAGCGAGGAAGACAAAGCCUCCCCAAAGAAAGAUACAGAACAAAUGCCCCGAAAUCAAAGAAGCCAGUCCAAAGCCCUUCUUCCUGGUGCAAGAGCUUCGUUAAGAAGGUUGAAAAGAGUAGCCCUUGGCUCCAAAGUGGGAGUGACCGGGAGCAGGCAGGAGGGUCCUCUUUCUGUCCUUGUUCCUUCACAGGACUCAGGGCAGGUGCAGGUGCUUUGGCGGUGGCCGGAACCAAGGCUCAUGGCUUGGCCCCUCCAGGGGGGCCAUAGUUAAGAGCACAGGGGCUAGAGUCAGGCAGCCUUGGGUUGAACUUCAGCGUCUGUCACUUAACCAGUGUGUGACCCAGGCAAGUUACAUGAUGUUUGAGUCUCAGUUAACUCACUCAUCACCUCACUCAUCAAUUGGGAGGUUGGGAGGCCUCCUUGGGUGUUUGGGAGGGAGGAUGGGCAAAACUUCUAGCCUGGUAAUGUGUUCCUCACAUGCUUUCCAUAAUUACUUAUUUUCCCCUUGAUGAGCUCCAGGGUCCUCACUUAAAAUGACGAAUGCUGACCUCACAAAACUGCAAAUCAUGAGUUGCCACUUAUUAAAUGCUUGCCAGGCAGUCGAAUAACGUGCUGUUCAGCUUAUCACCCCAGCAAUGGUGACUCUUCUGCAGGUGAAGCUAAGAGAGGUCAAAUGACUUGCUCAGUUCACAUAGCUAGGAAGUAGUGUGGCGAGGACUUGCUCCCAGGUCUCCUGCUUUGAAGCAGACGCCCUUUCCCAAGGUCAGCCGCCACCCUAUUGUGGAGGUGAAGUGGGCUGAUGGAUGAGCUUGUUCCUAGCAGCAGGCCUGAUACUCAGGAGUAGGUUGGGGUGGUAGUGGUGUGUACAUCUAGAAACAUUUGCUUCAUUCCCAUGGUCCCAACAAACCUAAGCCCAGACAGUUUAUGUUUCUAUUAUUAUUAUUAUUAUUGAGACAGAGUCUCACUCUGUUGUCCAGGCUGGAGUGCAAUGGCACAAUCUCAGCUCACUGCAACCUCCGCCUUCUGAGUUGAAGCAAUUCUCCUGCCUCAGCCUCCCGAGUAGCUGGGACUACAGGCUCAUGCCACCAUGCCCUGCUAAUUUUUGUAUUUUUAGUAGAGAUGGGGUUUUGCCAUAUUGGCCAGGCUGGUCUCGAACUCCUGACCUCAAGUGAUCUGCCCGCCUUGGCCUCCCAAAGUACUGGGAUUACAGGCAUGAGCCACUACACCUGGCCAAAAACUAUUUUUUAGUUAUUGAGGAAUAAAACUUCAUCAGCAUAGGCCAGGUGUGGUGGCUCACGCCUGUAAUCCCAGCACUUUGGGAGGCCGAGGCAGGUGGGUGGAUUACCUGAGGUUGGGAGUUUGAGACCAGCCUGACCAACAUGGAGAAACCCCAUCUCUACUAAAAAUACAAAAUUAGCCAGGUGUGGUGGCACAUGCCUGUAAUCCCAGCUACUCAGGAGGCUGAGGCAGGAGAAUCGCUUGAACAUGGGAGGUGGAGCUUGCAGUGAGCUGAGAUCGUGCCAUUGCACUCUAGCCUGGGCAACAAGAGCGAAACUCUGUCUCAAAAAACAAAAAACAAAAAUAAAACCCACUUUAUCAGCAUAAUACAGUAACUCCACUCCACUCCACUCCUAAGUAUAUGCCAAUAAAAAUGCAUAUGUACAUAUGUUCACCAAAAGGCAUACACCAGAAUGCUAGGCCAUCUACUCGCAUGUGCUCACUAUUCACAACAGCUGUCAACAAUGGAAUAGGUGACUAAACCACGGUCUUCUCAUCCGUGGGCUAGUCCUUGGCAAUGAGAAUGAGCAAACCAUUGCCACGAGCAACAACAUGGAGGAAUCUCACAAAUCCAACGUUGAGCAUAAAAGCCAGACACGAAAGAAAACACCGUUUGAUUCCAUUGAUAGGAAAUUCAAAACCCAAUCCAAUGAAUUGAUGGCAUUAAAACUCAGGAGCAUGGCUGUUUUAGGUGGGGGUGUGACGGAGGGGCACAAGGGGAUUUCUGGGGGUCUUUUUGAAUUUGGGAGUUGGUUACAUGCAUGUGUUCACUUUGUAAACAUUAAUUGAGCUAUACAUUUUAUGCUUAAAAGUGAAACAUGUAAAAAUCAUUGCUAAUAUAGGCCUUUCUGUGACUCUCCUUCUUUCCCAUUCUCCAUCCUUCCCUUGUGGUUUUCUGAAGUUGGCCUUCCCAAGUAAGUUUUCUACUCUUACUCCUUUGGUAUUGCUUGGGUAUCUCAAAAUUUUCUUUUGUUUUAGUUAUUUAUUUUUAUUCACUUUUGGGGCAUAGUAAAGUAUGAAGCAAUUAAAAUUUUAAAUGAAAGGUAGCCUGCUCCUUGUUUUUACUUGUGUUUUGCUGAACUUCAUGCUGCCGAGAUGAAUGUCUACAUGUUUGUUGCAUGUGUUGUGUGUGUCUCUAGGUCACUUACUUAAGAGGCUGCUGGAGAGGAUUCUACCAUAUCAGUGUGUCCCAUCUUGUUUUGUUACCCAGCCUCCCACUGAUGGGGCAGUUCGAUUGUAGUGGAUAUUUGGGUAUUAUGGUCUCCUUGCUGCAGUAGGCUUCCUUCUGUGACCUCCCUCCCCACUGUGCCUCUCCUUCCCCCUGUGGUUCUUCUGCUCCAUAAUCUUUUCCCUUUCCCAUCUCCCCACUGUUCCUCCAUUCCCUGCUUCCCAAUCUUUCUGACUGGGAAAGACCUAGGAUCUGUGCCGAUUGGAGGUGAGGGAGGGAUAGGAGAGGGACAGCCUUUUCCUUUUCCACAAAGGCUCCUCUUCCCCAAGAUCAAUGAUGAUUUAAAGAAAGAAAUAUUUCAUUAGGGGUUGACAUCUUAAUGAACCGUGCCAGGAACCUUCAAGGCACUCUCUAGGCUUCCUCGGUUUUAAGCGGGGCUCCUACCUCUGGGGGAGGCUUAUCAGUUUACCAUAUUGCCCCAAGUAGAUGACCAUGGUAGUGUGGGUAGCUGUGCCAGGGGCUGUGGAGGAGAGGGCCCCCAGGACUGGGGCGAGGCUGGCUUGUCCUUCUAGGUGCCAGGCUGACCGGGUGCCUGGGCCCUUGGAGGUAUUUGGAGUUCCUUCUGGGACGUUUAGGGAGUCAGAGACUCAGGCCUUGUCCAAAAGGUGGUGGGCAUGGGACUUUGGGCUGAUUGGUGGAAAAUCAGUCAUUAAAGAUCAGGAAAUAAGCGAUAGCUUGACAAGCAGUGAGCAAUUUCCCACUAGUUGGAACACAGCAUCUUUAGGUCAAAUGAGAUCCCUACAUGGAGGGAUUUCUGUGCAGGAAGAGAGCAGGACACACAGAGAGGGGCCAAGAGAGCAGACCCAGUGCCUUAUCCCUCCCCCAUGCACCCCACCCAUGGGGGUGGGGAUGGGGUGGAGGAUGCAUGAGGGUAGCAGAAGCCCCAGGAGUGGGCACAGAGAAAAGAAUUCCUUUUUCCUUCAUUUAGUUCUUCCUCAUCUUUUUUUUUUUUUUUUUUUUUGGACACGGAGCUUCCGCGUUGUUGCCCAGGCUGGCGUGCAGAGGUGCAAUCACAGCUCACUGUGAUCAACCUCCUGGGCUCAACUGAUCCUCCCACUUCAGCCUUCCGAUUAACUGUGACCACAGGUGUGAGCUACCAUGCCCGGGUAGAGAAGGGGUCUCUGUGUUGCGCAGGUUCGUCUCAAACUCCUGGACUCAAAUAAUUCUCCUGCCUCAGCCUCCCAAAGUGCUGGGAUUGCAGGUGCAAGCCACCUCGUCCGGCCCUUCCUUAUCUUUUAAGAGCUAUCCCACAUUUUCCAUCCACUUGAAGACUUUUGGAUUUAAGUCUCAAUUCUGUCACUUUUCUAGCCCCAAAUCCUGAAGCAAGGGGCUUAACCUUAGUUUACUCAACUGCAAGAUGGGAAGAAAAAUGAGACUCUGGCAGAGAGGUCGUGAGGACAAGUAUGGCUCAUGUAGGAUUCUUCUCAGUUUAGGCAUUGGAUAGACUAUAGCUACUGUUAUUCUUUCUUGAUUAACCCAGCCCACUUCUGCCUCUUUCCAGGUGCUCUUUAGCACUCCUAUGUCAUUGAUGUUAUAAUGUGUUGUUAGCUAACUUAUUUAAUAAGCUCCCAGUAACUUUUAACAAACCCUAUUGUUUGUUAACUGUUUAGCCAUUUUAUGCCUCAUUUCUCCAACUAGAUAAUAAACUCCUUAAUUUAGGGACCCACAAUUUCAGUCAUUUGGGGAUUUCUCAUUGCAUCCAGCUUAAUUUCUUUUGCAAGGUAGCUGCACAGUACAUGCAUAUUGAUUUGAUUAUGAUUUGAUACUUUAGAGCAAAGUUUAAAAAACAAAAAAUAGCCUAACGCUUUAGGGCAAGUUGGUGUCCUGCAGGUAUCAGCUGCAUGUUGUAGGACAUAUGUAAUAACUGUGUCUUCAGUGAUCGCAAGGAAAGAGCUAGCUAGGGUCAAGGGGGAAACCUGGGUAGAAAAUGGGACAAGGAAGACUCUCAUUCCCUCAGAGCCAUCCCCUUCUCUCAGAGGGCUGUGCUCCCCAUUCUUCUCAUCUCUACUCUGGCUCCCUUUCUGCUUGUUGACUUAGGAUGUCUUCAGAACUCUGUGCUUAGCAGAGGAUGUAUUCCUUCCCCAUGGAACCUGGAAGACCUGGGGCUUGGAGUCUCAGCUGCUGGCACUGGAGGGUGAGGUGGGAUAUGAAGGAGGGAAGUUAAAGCCCAGGUAGACUCACAUUGAAAAUAGCUGCCACCUGUUGAGCAUCAACUGUUCACCAGGCACUUUUAAUAUGUAUCUCUGAUUCCCACAACAGUCCUAUUUUGUUUUUGAGAGAAAGCAGUGCUCCAAAUGUCAGAGGCAAUGAAUGUAGAGUAGAAAUAAGUGAAGAUAAGAGUGUCUUUAUACAUCCCUUAUUGUGUGUGGCAUCUGGCUGGGUCCAUGGAGUGGGGCUCACACACUUCCUCAUCCUUGUAAUUCUAUGCCAGGCCUGGGCCCCAGGCCCCAGCUCCUUCCUGGUUCUCCUGCACCCCCUCUUCUUUCUGGUCUUCACCAUGUGCCCUAGGGUCUUCUCUCCUCCAGUCCCCUCUGCUCUUGAGCCAUGGCUCUCCAGCCCCCAGGACCUCUCUCAAGGUUGUUAGGCAGCAGGAAGUCCCUGGAGCCAGGCAGCUGAAGGCAAACUGAAGCUGGGUCUUGCUUAAAGAAGAACCACCCAUGCAUCAGACACUGUGCUAAGCACGCUCCACACAUGACCUCAUUUCACCUCCCAACAGUCCUCUAAGAUGAUGCAACAGAUACUUGUUGGUGCCCUGUCUGGUGCACUGUGACUUUUCACCCCUAAGGCUUCCAAUCACUAGUGCCUGACUUUCCUAGCCUAAGGGUUUCCUUUGGGAAUUAGAGCCCACUUUUCCACUGUGUGGGAGACCAGAAGUGCCAGGGAACUAACACUUCCUGGGGGAGCCCUCCACCCAUAACUGAUGGGAACUGGUAUAUAAAUACCCCUACUCCCUUACUCCCCUUGUGGGAUAACUCCGAGUCAUGUGUGCCAUGCAUACUCCCAGGGUUUCCUCUGUGGGACUGAGCCCAUCCUGUAGCUGGCUUGGUAACAUAUACUUUGUUGCCUCCUUUCCUUGUCUUACUUCCCCACUUUUCUACUGGUAUUUCCUUCACCUCCUAAAUCAACCAUUCGCAAUGGAAUAGUGUCUCAGGGGCUGCUUAUGUGGGAACCCAGCCUAAAUCAGGUUGAUAGUAUUAUUAUCUUCAUUCUAUAAAUGACAAGACUAAAGCUCAGAAAGGUUGAAAUUCAUACACGGUUCCACAAUUAUGUAAGUACAGCACCUGUCUUCAUACCCUGGCUUGUUACACACCAGAGUGAUCACCUCAUUGCUCUAGUAUACGGCUUCUUGAGGGCCCUUUCCCUCUCAAGAAGACUGGUUCAAGGCGAUUCCCCUUGGCCUCCUGCCUUGAGAGGUAGGAGGUGGGGAGCAGGGUGGGUCAGGGGUACACUGGGAGUAUUUCCAGCCCACCUAGCCCCCCGUCUCCCUGUGGGACACUGGCAAGCAGUCAUAGCCAGUCUCUGGAUUGCAGGCAGACAGAGAAGCAGAGAACACCUACGGGGCUGGAGAUAUGAUGAAUAGAAAGAAGUGAAAGCCACCUGGAGUGCUGGAAAAGAAGAGUACUGAAUCAGGGGUACAAGGCGAGGGCGGGCUCGGGGCUGAGGAAUCUUUCUGAGCAUUUGCAGUACACAGCAGCUCCUGCAAAAACAGAAGGAAUGAGAUGAGAGACAGGAAAGUAUUUAUUUUUUUCUGUCUUAUUUUAGAGUCAGGAUCUCACUUUGACACCCAGGCUAGAGUGCAGUGACAUGACCAUAGCUCGCUGCAGCCUUGAAUUCCUGGGCUCAAGAGAUCCUCCUGCCUUAGCCUCUGAGUAGCUGGGACUACAAAAGGAUUUCUUGAUGUUAGAGUUUGCUCAGCCAGGGAAUGUGGAAAGUCCCCUGCUGAGAACCUUCGGACCAGACAAGAAAUUGGCCUCUUUUAUGAGAGUGGAGGUGGGCCCCUUGGGACAGGAAAGACCUGAUCCCUCCAGAGACAAAAGUUACCUGGUGAGAACACCUUCAUGUUUUCUAUUUGUUUGGUUUUCAUGACAUGUUUGUCUUAGUUUAGGUUCUCCCUGAAGCAGACUCUGACAGUGAUUCAAGCAUAAGUGGUUUAUUUGGGAGGUGGUCCCAGAAAUACCAGUGGGGGAGCAGGGCAGGGAGAAUGAAGGGAAGGCAGCCAAUAAAGGGAGUGUUAUCCCACUGUCAGCAAGAGGAGUGCAGUCCCACUGAGGACUUGAGCGUGCGUAACACACACCGCACACAAGCCAGCCCACGGACGCAGGCCUUAGGGUACUCAUCCACCAACUUCCCCUUCAUCGUGGGCUGCGUCCUCCUUCUAGGCGCAUUCACUCUCCAGCACUUCCGGCCUGCUCUGGGCUGGAGCCAAGGGUGUUUCCACGGCCAGGAAAAAAGCCUCAGGCAAACAGCAGGUGUUGGCAGUAAGCAGGCUUCUACCUUUAGAGGCGAACACUGAGAGAGAUGGGCAGGGCGCCAGUGCCUGCCACACUCUGCCGGUCUGUUCUCCUGCUUAACUUUUCCUUUUCAUGAGUCUUUGUGGGCUCAUCUCAUCUCCCUCUGUCCUGUCUGAAGCACUGGGCGUUGCCCCACUCUGUCCUCGUCAUCUGUGCUCUCGGACAAGCCCAUCUACUCUCAUGGUUUUACCUUCCACUUUUGAGAUGGUGGCUCCCACUACUAUCCUGUGUGGGACCUGGAUCCCAUGUGCGUGUUUGUGGGCCUCCAGGGAUGGCACACUCAACAUGUCCCCAGCCCAAGCCAUCUUCUGUAUCCAUAACAUGCUCCACCUCUGCAUUUUCUCCCCAUUGGUGGCACCAUAAUCUACCCAGUCACUCUAGAAACUAGAAUCAUCCCUUGGUUCUCCUUAUCCCUUCCUCUUCACAUCCAGUCACCAAGUCCUGUGGCUUCCAAGGCAUUUCUCAGAGUCAUUCCCUCCUCUUUACCUCCACUUCUCCUACUAUUGGUCAGGGCAGGACCUUCAUCAUCCCCCAUCUGGAGUAUUCCAAUAGCUUCCUACCUGGCCUCCCCACUUCCAGCCUUGUCCUCUUCCGGAGCCUCCUUUCAGUGCAUCCUCCACAGUGGUGAAAAAGUUCUAUCUAACAUGCCAGCCCAGGCUGGGUGUGGUAGCUCAUGCCUGUAAUCUCAGCACUUUGGGAGGCUGAGGCAGAUGGAUUGCUUGAGGCCAGGAGUUCAAGACCAGCCUGGACGACAUGGCAAAACCCCAUCUUUAAUAAAAAUUAAAUAAAUACAAUUCCAGCCUGAACUUGUCAUGCCCUGCUUAAGAUGCAUUCAAAAUUCAAGCACCUUGGUUGGGUGCACAGGGUACAAGGUAUCCUUUCUUGAACCUCUGGUUCUAUCCCUGGCCACUCCCAGCUCUGCCACCUGGGACUUGUGGCAUGUGCUAUGCUCUUCCAUGUAGCUAGGCUUCCUCUCAGACUGUGUCCUCUGUUUGGAAUAUCUUUUCUCCCAUAUGCUUUCACUGCUGACUAAGACCCAGCUCAGAUGGCACCUCUUCUUGGAAGUCUUCCCUGAAUGCCCCAGGCUGGAUUAGACACUCUUCUUUUGUGUUCUUGUAUCAGUGCAAACAUCAGAAAAUCCACUUCAAAUGGGCUUAAAUAACAAUGAAAAUUGACUGACUCUUGUAACUGAAAGUCAAGGGAGCAGGACUCGCUGCAGAUGAUGUGUGAUCCAGGGGCUUAAAAUGAUGCCCUUGGGUGCUCCCAUUGCUUAACUCUGCCUUUUCCUGGGUGGGCUUUAUUCUUAGAGUCCUUGGAGGGAGUCCCAUCAGCUUCAGACUCACAUCCAGCCCACUUCAGUCCAGUGAAUUGUUCAAGCCAACACUUAGCUUAUUUGGACUUGACUAGGGAUUGACUUGCCCUUCUCCAAACCCAUCAAAAUGGCCAAGGGCUUACAGUGUUCUACUUCAGGGGUUGGUGGAUUAUGGCCAAAUCCUGCUUACCACUUGUUUCUGGAAAUAAAGUUGUAUUGGAGCACAGUCAUACUCAUUUGCUUACGUAUCAUCUGUGGCUGUUUUUGUGUGACCGGGGCAGAGUUGGGCAGUGGAGGCAAAGACCAGCAAAUUUUGCUGUAUUUUAACCUCUACAGGCUAUGAGGCAAAAUUGAGAAUAUGAUGCAGGGAUUUACAUAACAAGAGAGAAAACAAAUUUCCACAAAACUUUUAUUGAUGAAAUUAGAAUGACAAUAAUAAUUGAGAACUUUUGUUUGUACUACAGGUUUACUAAUAAGAAGAAUGAAAUUUGGGGAAAGGGGAUAACAUUUUGCUUGGUUGGGGUUCAAAGUUAACGCUCCCUAUUAUCAAAGUGACCACCAAUGUUCAUCUGUGAAAACCACUUAGCUAACAGACCAUACAAAACCAGGCAGGAUUUUGUCUGUGAGCCACAGUUUGCAGACUCCUGAAUUAAAUCAAAGCAUUACAGAGCUAAGGGAAGAGACAGUGGGAAGCUGAUGCUGGAGAUGAUACUGACCCCAUAGGUCUGUGGGAGGCAUCUUAUAAGGCAUUUCUUUAUAAGGCAAGUUCAUGUCCAUUGAGCUCCUUAAUCUUGACAACAAUUCCAUGAGGGUAGGCAGGGUAAGGAUGGUUGUACACUCUUCAGAGAGGAGACUGAGGCUCAGAGAGAAGUGGCUUGUCUGAAGUUUCAUAGCAAAGCCUCUCUGGGACACCUUUGAGGAUGCUAAGACAUGGGCCUUGGAACAUGUGCUUUGUUGAGUAAUUGAACAAUUAUGGUGUCUCCUGGUUGGAAGACAGGCUGAGCCUGCAGAGGGACAGGCUGGUCUGAACAUGGUCUGGAAGGCUAAGUUUCCAGCUGGCUCUGUGACAUCCAGUGGUCUCCAGGAAUGGGGCUGGUCAGCAUGGUGCCUAGGAACCCAGUGUGGCUUCAAGGUUCUCUGAGCAUAGGCCUGUCUCCCUAUGCAGGACUGGGGAUACCAGCAUAGCAGCUAGAAAGAAAUCAGGGCUGGGCGUGGUGGCUCACAUCUGUAAUCCCAGCACUUUGGGAGGCCAAGGCAGGAGGAUUGGUUGAGACCAGCCUGGGCAACAUAACCAGACCCCUUCUCUUUUUCUUUUUUUUUUUUGAGAUGGAGUCUCUCUGUGUUGCCCAGGCUGGAGUGCAAUGGCGCGAUCAUGGCUCACUGCAACCUCUACCUCCUAGGCUCAAGCGAUUCUCCUUCCUCAGCCUUCCAAGUAGCUGGGAUUACAGGCACCCACCAUCAUGCCCGGCUAAUUUUUGUAUUUUUGUAGAGACAGGUGUUUUGUAGAGAUAGAUGUUUCAUAUUGGCCAGGCUGGUCUUGAACUCCUUACCGCAGGUGAUCUGCCCGCUUCGGCUUCCCAGAGUGCUGGGAUUACAGGUGUGAGCCACCAUGUCUGGCCAUGAGACCCCUUCUCUACAAAAAAUACAGUAAUUAGCCAGGCAUGAUGGCGUGCGCUUAUAGUCCCAGAUACUCAGGAGGCUGAGGUAGGAAAAUCUCUUGAGCUCAGGAGGCGGAGGUUGUCAUGAACCAAGAUCUCACCACUGCAUUUCAGCGUGGGCAACAGAGCAAGACUCUGUCUCAAAAAACAAACAAAAAAAUAGAAAUCAGACUUCAGGCAAUAAUGCCCAGCCCCACAAACAAAGAUUUUGACCCUCUACCUCACUGCCUGCAGCCUUCAAUGCCUGGCCUCAUCUGGGUUCCUGAGGAGCAAGCCUGCAUCCUGUGUCCUGUGGGCAGGCUGUGGGCAGCCCUCCUCCAGGCUUACCUUGCCUCAGGUAGGGCUGCCCAAGGUCAGGGAGGGUGGGUGGAGGCAAUCAGAUGUGAAGGACAGAUGCUGAGUUCCUUUCCAGGAUGAUGAUUUGUGGGUACUGAGCAUGUGUGUUCUGGUACAUACAAAUACACAGACACUUCACACAUUCCCUGUCUCACACACGUUUUCACACUCCCAUAGUCACCUCCAUCUUCACUACCACCAUCUCAUACUCACAUACAUGCACAGUCUCGUGGUUUCUCACUUUUUUUUCUUUUUUUUUUUGAGAUGGAGUCUGGCUCUGUCACCCAGGCUGGAGUGCAGUGGCACGAUCUCAGCUCACUGCAACCUCUGCCUCCCUGGUUCUGGUGAUUCUCCUGCCUCAGCCUCCCAAGUAGCUGGGAUUACAACCAUGCACCACCACACCCAGCUAAUUUUUGUACUUUUUUAGUAGAGACAGGGUUUCACCAUGUUGGCCAGGCUAGUCUCGAACUCCUGACCUCAGGUGAUCUGCCCGCCUUGGCCUCCCAAAGUGCUAGGAUUACAGGUGUUAGCCACCGCGUCCAGCUGGCUUCUCACAUUUUUUCAUGCACUCUCAAGCUUGCACAACAUAUUCAUAUGCACAACAUGUUCAUACAUACCUCUAUUAGUUUCCUGGGACUGCCACAACAAAGUAUCACACACUGGGUAGCUUAAAACAACAGGAAUUUAUUGUAUCAGUUUUGGAGGCCAGAAGUCCAAAAGCAAGGUUCCUUCUGAGACUUGUGGGGAAGGGCCUUUCCUUGCCUUUGCUGGCUUCUGGUAGCCCCAGGUAUUCUUCGGUUUGGAGGUGCAUCACUCCAGCCUCUGCCUCCAUCUGUCUCUGUGUCUUCACAUGGACAUCUUAUAAGGACACUAGUCAUAAUGCAUGAGGGCCACUCUAUUCCAGUAGGGACUCAUCCUAACUGAUUACAUCUGCAAUGAUACUGGUUCCAAAUAAAAUCAUAUUCGGAGGUUCUGGGGUUAGGACUUCAAUAUAUCUUUUUUGGGGAGGAGCACAAUUCAACCCAAAAUACCACCUACAGCCAUAAAAUCUCACAUACAUAGGCCAUACUGCCAUAGUGACACAGAUAUAAAACACACAAUCCCAUAGUCACAAAAAUCACACACUCCCAUAUACACUUUCAGGAUCAGACACUCCCAUGGUCCCCCCACAUGCACGCAUACACACACAUGGCGAGGUCAUCACAUACACACUCCUUUAGUUUCCCAGUCUUACAGCCCUACACACCCCCUCCAGUCACACCCCUUCGCACACCCUCCUGCCCCCGCCUCACUCCCAGAGGCCACCCUGUGGAGGUCAUGCUCAGAGACCCGGCACAUUUGCAGCCUCGCACUUGGCUCAUACAUCUCACAUCCUCUCCCACCCACACAGUCUCUCCCCUCUGACUCCUCCGCCCAGCUCACCAGUUCCCGCACCAACCCUCAUGGCAAGGAGGCAACAGACUGGCUCUGUUCCACUCCAGCGGGGGCACCAGGUGGCUCCCCCCUUGUCCUCUGGAAUCUGAUGCCCCCACAAGCCUGCCUUUUCAGGCUCCCACGCUUCCCUCUCAGGGACAGACAGACAGAAACAUCCACACACUCUCAUGCUCACACACGCGCCCCUCCGGCAGCCCCACGGCAGCAGUCUGUUCCUCAUUAUGGGCCAAUGCGCCUGUUUACUCACCCAGCUGGAGAUGGUUAGAGAGUGAUAAAUAAUGAAAGAGAAAACAGGCUUUUCCCCUCUGUGGCUUCUAUUUAUGUAAUAUGUGUCACUGUGCAUUCACAGACUUUGUUUCGGAGCUGGUUGCAGGAAAUAGUUUAUUUUUUCCGGACGGUGGCUUAAGGGGUGGGGAGGUGGGGGGCAGGGUUUGGGUUUCUGAUCUCACGCCCAUAGGAGUUUCGGAAUCUGGCUCCCAGAGUCCUCUUCCCCUGGUGCCUCCUCUCCUCGCCUCCCCUGACAUCCCCGGGGUGGGCAUCAUGGCUAGAGGCUGCCUCAGAACCAGGUUCUCCCACUCCACCUAUUUGGAAUGGGCUGGGGUGGUUGGGGGCCCCUCCCAGCUGCCUCUGAAACCUCCCAGACAGAUGGGCUUGUUUUAAGAGCCAGACAGCUUGAGGCUGGACUCCCAGAAAGGAGGCAGUUGGACAGGGUCUUCCUAGGUAGCCUGCACCUGUUGUUGGGGGAGGAUGCAAAAGGAUUAAUUCUAUAAAAUAAGAAAAAAAAAGAUCCAUACCUCAUGUUCACUUAGCACUUUCAUCCCCGUGGUCUCUCUGAGGCCUCACAACUUUUAAUGGCUGCUUCCCAGGUGAGAGAACUGGAGGAGGGCUUGCCAUGGUCUGUGCAACUGGCUGAUGAGGAGCCAGAACUUCACACUCAGGCCUCUGAGUCCAGAAGAGCCUCACACACCCCACUGCCUCCUCCUCCCAAGGAUGCCUCCCUUGGUAAAGUUCUGGUUGCCCUCACUCAUUCUAAGGUGAUGGGAGUAGUUAUAAGGGUGUGGGGGUUGGAAUUUGGGGAAUGGUGAGUCAUCAGAGGUCUGAGAAGUGUCCCCUUCUCCACCCUUUCCUAAACAUUAAGGUGAGCCUCCUUUGGGUGACAAGCCAGGGAAGGAAGAAGCAGCAGAAGGCUGCCCUGCUCCCCAACCCCCAGUGCAGGGAGGCUCUUGGGAAGCUGGAAGGGCACCUGCCCCCACCUGAGCCUGUCUUUUUGAGUGCCAGGGCAGGGAGACAAUGUCUUUGUUUGACAUGGAGCCCUGGUUGUAUCCCAGGCCACCUGCUGGGGGGACCCAGAGGUUCUGACCUUUGAGGAAUAUAGCAUCCACUAUGGAAAAUGGGCCCAGAAGCCCCCAACUCCUGCAGACUGUGGGGGAUGAAUAUAUACAGGUGCCAUGGGAUUAAGGUGCAGGGCAGAAUCCUGCCCAGUGACCUCGGGGUUCUUGCAGGGAGCAUCCCACAGGAAUCUCCUGGCUGCGGGGUGAAGCAGCCACCUUCCCAAGACAAGGACUUUAAACACGGUCUGACAAACAAGAGCACAUAUGGGCCAAGGGCAAAAGAGAAAAAGUGCUAAGGAGGCGGUUUUCUAAUUUAGUGGGUGUCAGAUUCACAGGGGAGCUUAUUAAAUGCGGAUCCCCAGGCUCCUUUCCUGGCGUUGAUUCAGCAGGUCGGGGGGGUGGGGGGCAGGAAUCAGCAUGGUUAGCAAGUUCCUGAGAGUUCUUGGACUGGUGGUUUCCCAAAGACUGGGAGACAACAGUGCCCUAUGUGGGCCCUGGAGGCAACCCCCCUGCCCAACGCAUAAAGAUGAGAUGCAAGCAUCAUGGUUAGGUCAGGAGGGAAUUUGACUUCCCCCAAAGAGUGAGAAUGAUUUGGUUGGAGAAUGAUAAAAUUUAUUUGGUCCAAAGGAAGGGAGGGAGGAAGAGAGGAAGGAAAAUAUAAUUUACCAAUACCUAUAUGUGCCAAGCUGUUACAUGAUGCUUUUCGUUUUGCUUUGUGCUUUUGUUUUUCAGAGACAGGGUCUUGCUAUGUGGCCCAGGCUGGAGUGCAGUGGCACAAUCAAAUCAUAGCGCACUGCAGCCUCGAAUUCCUGGGCUCAAGCGAUUCUCCUGCCUCAGCCUUCCGAGUAGCUGGGACUACAGGUGCAUGCCACCAUGCCUGGCUGUUACACGACAUUUUUACCUGGCUGCUUUGACUUUUUGACAUUCAUAUCCAUUUUUGGAACCUAAAACGCUGUCAACAUUCUAUUUCUUAUUACCAAGUAAUGCUCAUACAGACAUACCCGCCACAGCCCGAGUCAAAACUUUGUGUCAGCUGGGAUGUUGUGCACACCUUGGAGCAUCUACCACAUGCCAGGCAUUGUGCUUUGCAUGUACUGCUUUGUUUUUCACUGCACCGCAACACCGACAGGCAAUACUAUUCCCAUUUUACUGAUGAGGACAGCAAGGGUCAGAGAGGUUUAGUCACUUGCCUAAGGCCACCCGGCUACAUCAACCCUGGCAACAGGAAGAGCUGGUGCUUUUGUUUUUUUACUGAUCCAGGGAGAGGCCCUAUUAGGGAGGUAGAGGGACUGAAUCCAGAUCCUGCUUUAUAGCCCCCUCUCCAGGACUCCCUCCCUCCCACUCUGGAAUGGAGAGGUGGAUGGAGAGGCACCCUCUCUGCCACUCACUCAACCCCUCUGCCUUUGGGACCCUAUGGACUCUCAUACAGCCCACCCAGCUUGCACCCUGAGCUCUCUCCCAAGAAGCUGAGCACCUGGGGUCUCAGGCACUCCCUUCCAAUUCAGUCCCUGGAGCACUUAUGGCUCUGAGGGAGUCCCCGGAGGGGGGCUGAAAGAGGUGGGGGAGCUUAAGGAGCACCUUUCCUGGGCUUCCAGGAGCCUCUUACAUCCCUAUCCCCUUGGCAGAAUGGGUGUAUCACAACUGGAGGGUGGGGGUGUAUGGGGACGGCAGAGCUGGCCAGACCUAUGGUCCCAGAUGUUUGUUCAGGCUGUGGGCUGAGCCUGAUUUCAGAUGUGUGGCAGCUUCAUGGGAGUCCUGCCCAGACUCCCACAUGGACACUCACUUGCUUACUUGCACACACGCGUGCCCUCAUGCGACUCCCCUCCACACAGAGUUCCACUUGUGAAAACCCAGACAAAGCUCCAGACUAAUGUCCCUGUGGACAGUGACAUGAAUGGUAAAAAUCAUCCUCAACCCCAGGUGCUCUGCACACGCUGACUCUAAACUUCACAUCGAUCCUGCAAGGAUGCUUUCCCUGAUGACCUCCCCCUACCCACCACACACCUUAUAGAUGAGAAAAAUGGGCUUCAGAAAAGCCAAGUGACCGGUCUGAGGCCACACAGCGACCCCACGGCAGAGUGGGGACUGGGGUCUGUCUGUUGGGGAGCUCACCCGCAUCCCUCUCACCAGGCUGCUUUUCCCGUCUGGCUCCCAGGACCCAGCAGGUGUUCAGCACGUCCACUGAUGAAUGUGUAUGUCUGUGUUUUCUUUCACACACAGUGCAGGCUCCAGCUGCCCCUCUCUCCAAACCCACUCUGAGCUGUGAUCUCCCUGCAGGCUCAGAAACUUGCAGACCACUUGGCUUCCUCUACAGCCAGAACUAGCGCCAGCCUGAAUUCUCUGGGCUCCAGCCUCAGUUUCCCCUGAGUUUCUUAGGCCUGCACACCUGAGCAAGUCCCUCCCUGCUUUGAGCAGACCCACAGCACUGGUUGGGCUCCUGCUCCAGGCCUGACCCCCACUGUGGAAGCCUCUGGGGUCCAGCCACCUCCAUUCUCCUCUCUUCUUCCCAAACGUCAGGCCUGGCACUGCCCCCGCUCAGCCCCCGCUCCCUACGGCCCCCUGGGAGCCCAGGCUUUGCUUGAGGGCAGCAAGUGAAGCCGGCUGUAACAGAGAAACCUCAGGCUCCUCUUUAGAAGUCCCCGGAGGAGGCAGAUCUGAGGAAAGGCUGCCAAGAAGGCGCCUGCAGCAAUGUCAGCUUGAGAACAACCCGGCUGACAGGAUGCUGAGCGGGGAUUAAGGUCGGGAUCAGGGAAGCCAGGGAAAUGAAGGCAAGUUCCCUGCUCCCCUCGCUGCCACCGCUGCCGCUGCGGCUGGGUUUGUCUUCUUGUUUGUUCUGGCUCUGGGAAACUGGGCGGGGAGGGAAGUGGGCAGGGAUGAGGUGGGGAGGUGGAGGGAAGGACAGGGGGGAGGUGGAGAAGGGCUGGUAUGGGGGUGGAGGGAGGUGGAGGGAAGAGAAAGUCAGGCCUCCUCUGGGUCUUGGGGCUCAGCCAGGGAUGGGGCAGAGGCACAGAUGGCCCUUACCUGGGACCCUUCCCCUAUACCUGUCCCUAUAGCUGGUCUGCCAGCCAGUGGAGCAGCCAGUCGCCCCCCGACCCCCACCCCGGAACCCUCCCUCAUGUCCUGAGUGUGGGUGGCAGGACCAGUGAGAACACAAUUGACCUUGCCCUGAGAGGCUCCCAGCUCAAUGAAGCAGAUGCAGUCUACCUCCAGAGAGGAGGUGAGCCUGUUUCCACCUGUCUACACAUGCAAGAUCCCCUGUUCUGGGGAAAGACCAUUACCCCAACCUGCCUCAUCAUUGACAUGUCACAAGAGUCCAGCCAAAUGGGCUACUGAUUUCCAGGUCAUCCAGUGCACCACAAUUCUAGUGAAACCUCAUAUCCUUGCAUUGCCAUUGGUGUGGUAGUGAAGAACGUGGCUUCUGGUUUCAGACUGCAAGGGGUCACCUUUUGGCUCUGCCACUGAUUUGCUAUGUCACAUUGGGCAAGCUGGCUAACUUUCUAUGCCUCAGUGGGAUAAAAUCAUAGCACCUCCUCAUAAACUUGUCAGGAAGAUAGAGGGAGUGGACACGUGCGAAGUGCUUGGCAUAGGGCCUGCCAUGGAGGACAGAAGACAUACGCCAUAGGGUAGCUUUAUUUAUUAUUGAGGCAGAGUACAGGAAUAAGUGUGGCAAUUUGAAGUGACUUGGCUGAAAGCUUCCUGGGGGAAGGGGUGUGGAAAUCUGAUUUUGGAAGCUGAGACUGGGCAGGGGUAGAGAAGUGAAUUAGGGGUAUGGAACAGAGCUCCCAUUUGCCAGGUGAGUGAGUUAAGGAUGUAUCUGGUGAGAGGCAGAGAGGAUGCAUUUUCUAGAAGCCCUCAUCCCAGCCAGGCUUUCUCCAAAGUUCCCACUUUAACUAGGGGUAACUCUUCCAGCCCUGCCAAGGGCAAGCCAGGGGUGCCAAGACCAUGAAAAGAUGCAGUUUUUCAUGGUGACCUUCCCAGAAUGGAGUCUAUUCUAGAAACCCUAGCCAUUCAGGGAGACUCCACUUGUACCUGGGUUUUCUGGACCUGGCAAGGGAAGAAACAGGCACAGAGAGUACAAACCUGGAGGCAGAUCAUCCCUGGGGUUGGGUUCCAGCUCUGUGACUGAUCAUCUAUGUGCCUUGGAGCCAGUCAAUUAGCCUCUCUGGACCUUAGCUGCAGGGUCUGUGAAAUGAGAUAGUAAUAUGUACCUUAGAGUUGUAAUGAUGAGCAGUUACUCCAUAACUAUCCACUGUUGAUAUUCAGCUUAGCAAAGAGUUGCUGAGGUCCAGCCAGCUACUGGGGCCCCAGUGAAUGAGAGACCCUUUCCUAGCCCUUGAUAGCUGGUGGCCUGCAUGUGAGUCCAAAUAUGAUGCUGAAGGCAGUGGUGCUACCUUAAAGGUCCACCUGGGAACCAAAGAGAAGGAGUUCCUGGCAUCCACAUCCCAGGCUGCAGGGCCUGCUCCCCUGGCCCACCCUGCAGCCCUGCUUGGGUGUCCCUAUCUCUGGACACCCUGGCCAGCAGGCUGGGGAUGGGGAGAGUGUUGUAGGGGGAGGGGAAUGAGAACCUAGGAUGGGGUUCUGGUAAUUGGGGAAAAGCUUUGCUGGGUCUGAUUUGUGGGGGAAAGCCUUAGGCAAGGAGGCCCAGUCCCUGCAGAAGUGUGUGAGGAGCACCUUAUUGGGGAUUUUAUCUCUAGGGGCCUGGUUCUAGAAUUUUAAAAACACCUUUUCUUUUCUUUUUGUUCUGUUAAUAGAAGUUAUGUAUAUUUAUUGUUUAAAAAAAUGGAAAAUACAGGCCAGGCAUGGUGGCUCAUGCCUGUAAUCCCAGCACUUUGGGAGGCUGAGGCGCGUGGAUCAUGAGGUCAGGAGUUCAAAACUAGCCUGGCCAAGAUGGUGAAACCCCGUCUUUGCUAAAGCUAUAAAAAUUAGCCAGGCGUGGUGGCAGGUGCCUGUAAUCCCAGCUACUCGGGAGGCUGAGCAGGAGAAUCGCUUGAACCUGGGUGGCAGAGGUUGCAGUGAGCCAAGAUCCAGCCACUGCACUCCAGCCUAGGUGACAGAGUGAGACUCCAUCUCAAAAAAAAAAAAAAAAAAAAAAAAGGAAAAUACAGAAAAGCAUAAAAAAGGAAAUAAAGAUCAGCCAUAAUCUUCCCACCCAGAGAUAACCAUGGUACGACUUUAGUGUAUCUCCUAGUUUUUUUUAAGCUGACUCUCAAACACACAUUUACACACACUCACAUGGACACACACAUUCACACACACAUAUUCACAAAUAUACACUCACACGCACUCACACAUUUACAUACACAUAUAUGUAACUUUUUGUUACAUGUUUAAUGUACACAUGUCUUUAAAAGUUCAGAAACAAGAUCAUGGAAUCAUGAAUACAUCACCAUUUUGUCAACUAAUAUUUUUAUUAAAUAAAAUAUUGAUAACUUUUUCCCCAGGUCAUGACAUAUUCUUCUCCAACAUAAUUUAAAAUGACUGUAUAGUGCUCUGUCUUUGGGCAUAAGGCAUAUCAUUUUAUCAGUCAUCACCUGUUGGUCAUCCAUCCAUUUCUAGAUUUUUGCCAUUAUAAAUAAUACUGAGGUGAACAUCCUUGCAGAGAAAUCUUCGAGGGGGUCGCUAACUUUCCAAUUGUCUAUUCAUGUCUGUCUACUCCCGGCUUCGAUUUUGAGGCUUUCUAGGCAGGAUCUGUGUCUGGUUUGUUGUGACCCCAAAGUCUAGCUUGGCUGCUGGUUCACUGUAGGCAUCCAAUAAUGGUUGAAUUGAGUUGCUUUUCUAGAGCAUGUGCCCUCGGCUGAGGAAUUGGGAAGGUGGAUAGAUGAGGAAAGAGCCCACCUUUCCUGCUAGAACACUCAGGGGUCCCCAGUGCCUCUAUGCUGGACCUGCUAACUUCUCCUAGGAAAACACCUUCCCAAGCACAGAGCCACUGGCCAUCCCAGAGGCUCACUGAAUGGCCCUCCUGUAUCUCUUAUCUUCCUUGCCUGGACCCUCCCCCCUCAUCCCCUUCCCCCCUCCGCCCCCGAUCUCUGACUCUUGAGUUCUUUUGUUGUGUUUUCAAGCUGAAGGCCCAGCAGACAGAGCCCUCUCACCUGCCCGUGUCUGCUGGACAAUGUUGCGGCAGCUCCCAGCUCCCCAUACAGUGGCCUCCUCCGUGGCCCCCACUUUUGACAGCACAGCCUGCUUGGCUCCUGAGAAGUGCCCACGUGGCACACCUCACCCCUGCCCCUGCUCUGCCUGCCACCUCUCAUGGCACCAAAGGAGCCUUUGUCCCUUCCUCAUGGGGGCUCUCAGCAGAUGCUGACGUUCUGACUGAAACAGAUUUGUAGAAUCAUGGAUUUUGAAGUGGGGACCCAGGUCCCAGUGUUUCAGUGGGUCUUUAAAAAAGAGAGAAAGGGAGAGAGAGAUGGAGAGAGAGAGAGAGAAAGUGAGCAACAGCACGAGAGGUAAGAGGCAAAAGCUGAGAGGUAAAACUUACUAACUUAAUUUCCCCUCACCAGCAUCCACACUCCCAACCUCCUGGAAUUUCUUCUCUUCUUUUCAAUUUUUAAUCUCUUCUUUUCCUCUCUUUUCUCUCCCUCUUCCCCCUUUUCACUCCUUUCCUUCUCCUCUUUCUCUGUCUCUCUCUCAGUUCUGACAUGAACACCCCCCCCACCCUCCUGUCCCCCUCCCCUCCUCUCCUCCUCUCCCCUCCUCUCCCCUUCUUUUUUAAGUUUUUUUUUUUUUCUUUUAACUUUCAAGGUCAUUCCGGACUCCUGACGCCGCCAGUCCCGCGGUGAGACGUGAGCGCCAUUGGCGUCCGUGGCCUCUGUUUCCGUGGCAACCUAGUAACCAUUAAUUUUCAAUUAAAGGAGACAAAAAGCUCGAUGACAGCUCCAGGUCUGCUGAAGAUGUCAAGAAUCUGUAUUAAUAUACAGCAAGAGAGCAUAAUUGUGUGUCCAUCUUCCAGAGCAGCGAAAAAUGGAGGGAUAAUUACCAGCUCGAAAGCCACUCUGUAAUUUAGUUCUUACUGUCACCACAGCCCUACACAUUAGCAUAAAUUAAAAGCAGAGUUUAUUGUUAUCAAAGUGCAUUGAUAUCGCCAGACCUGCUUUCUUCCUUUUAACUGUUUGUUGUGGGUGAGUGACUCCCCAACUCUUGCCAGGGUCUCCCCAGGGUGGGGAGAGUGGAAGUGUGGCUGCUAGACCUGAAAGGUCUAGCUGCCAGCCUCCUUCAGGGCAGGUGGGGACAAGGGUCAGCGUGUUGCCCCUCUGAUAGGGUCUGGGGAUGAUGCAGGGGAUGGAGGAGGCUUGGAUAUUUAUUCACCUUUCACAUGUAAGUGCUUUGUUUUGCCAACGAGUGCUCCAGCUCUUUGCAGAGGGGGCUGCUGCCCCAUCGCGGGUCCCCCUUUAGUGCCUAGUACAGUGCAGGGCAGGUGAUGAGUGCUCUAAGGCAAUGUGUUAAACAAAGGAAUGAGUGCAUGUGUAGGGGUGUUCUCCCGGGGUGAAUGUCAGUGGAGAGACAUUGCAUUCCCUGUUCAGGGCGUGGCCAGCUCAGGUGGAGAUGCUCCUGUCUGUGGCCCAGUUCCUGCUUGGCCACCCAGGACCCCAGCUCCCCAGAGGGGUCCCUCUGGACCCCACGCCCCUAAUCUUGCCGCUUGGCCACCCACCUCCAUGGCCUGGGUGCUGCCACGGCCACCGCCUUCAUACUCACCUCCGAGUGGUUGGAGAACCUCGAAGUGUCUCGCUGCCAGAGUACCAGUGACAGCCACAGAAAUCAUGAGUUUCCGUGAAUGGGGGAUGCGGAGUUUUCUUGUAUUCUAUCCAGAGAGAGCUGUCCUUCAGAGGGGAAUUUAGUGUAAUUACCCUUAAGGGAGCGAUCCUUACACAGUCAGUCACAACACUGACCUCCUGGCUGAGAUUUGACAGCAAAAUUGCAGGCUGUGUACUCAACAGAAGGGGCAUCCUCCUUUUUUGGGUGUUGAGGGGGGAGGCGGGAAGGAAGGAGGAGGAGGGAAAGGAGACUCAGAGGCUUUGAAAAGAAAAGUGCUGGCUUACAGCUGCCAGGCAAGCGGGUUCUCCUUGGCAAGGCGUCUACAGGGCAAGGAGAAGGUGUCCAGAGAUCCCCUGGAACUUCACCUGGCUCAUGAAGAGGGGCCAAGGUAGGCACUCCAGCCCUUCAGAUCUUUGAGCUCUGGUUUGUGAUCUUAGCUAAAGUUAAUCUUAUUGUAAGAAGGAUUUGGAGGGUACUAGGCACUAUUUGAUGAACUUCUCAGGCAUGUUUUCCCAAACAUAUCUGUCCUCGGUCCCUCCCCGGUGCUAGAAGUUCCACUGUUCCUUUUACCUUUAAGUUGACAGAUCCAAGACCCUGUAAACCUGCAUCUGGGUUACCUGGAAGGACUAAUGUGUUAAUCUGUGACCACUCCAAAUUUAGCAUGGAUGCAUCUCUCAGAUGUGCUGGCCCAUCACAUGACUGAAGCCAAAGGACACAGGGGUCAGGCAAAUUUCCGUGAAGGAUUGGAAAAAAUCUGUUGUAUGGGUAGAUCUUGAUGGACUGUGAAGCCUGGCAAGGAAUGGAGGUAAAUCCCCAAAUCUCAAAGCUGGAAGGGAUCCCAGAAGCCAACGGGUCCAAACUUCGCAGAGAAGGAGUCCCCACCUCUCUGUUCUACCUCUACCCAAAACUCAGGGCUGGGCGCGGUGACUCACGCCUGUAAUCCCAGCACUUUGGGAGGCCAAGGCAGGCAGAUCACCUGAGCUUAGGCAACCCGCCCGCCUCGGCCUCCCAAAGUGCUGGGAUUACAGGUGUGCACCACUGCGCCUGGCCCCAUAUCUCUUUUCAUCCUCUCAACCAAUUCAAUGAAGGGAGGAUAUAUUAUUCCCAUUUUACCGUAGAGAAAAGAAGGACGCAAGAAGCUUCAAAUCACUUGCCCCAAAUCACCUGCCAGCAAGGGGCAGAGCCAGAACUGGGAGCCCAGACUCCUGACCCAGGCCAAAGACUUUCCUUGAGAAUCCAGCUGCGUUGGUCCCUACACCCCUUGGCCACCACUGGGUUUGGGGAAUGAGCUCUGCCAUCAUUCUCCUGUCUCUCUACCUCCAUGAUGCUUUUCUGCAGGGCCUUUCUCUCCACUUGGCAGGGAGAAGGAAUUCCAGGGAAAACCCAGCUUAAGUCCUGCAUCCUCCCUGAAGGCUUCCCUGCCCAUCCCAGGCCUCAGUAACUGCUUCAGUAUAAUGACAACAUUGGACGUUAUUUACUGACCACAGGACUAUGCUUCAGCACCUACCCUAAGGUAUUUUAUUCAAUCCUCCAGGCUUUUGCCCUGGCUGAGGGUUCUGCCUGAGCUUCUCUCCCCUCAGAUACCUGCAUCUCCUUGAAGGACCACCUUCUCUGGGAGGUCCAACCUAACCAUCCUUUCCCAGGUCUUUGUACCCGCUUUAUUUCUUUCUAUAGCUCAUGUCACCUUCCGAAGAGUAUUUAAUUUACUGAUUAUUGUGCUCAUUGCCUAUCUUCCUCCUCUUUAAGUUCCAAAAGGACAGAGGCUGUAUUUUGUUUACUGUUGCAUCCCAAGCACCUAGAACAGUGCCUGACAUACGGUAGGUGUACAAGCGAUAUCUGUCAAAUGACAGGAGGAAAACUCAAAACCCUUUGAGGCAGGUGUGUUGUUUUCACAGCAGAGAGGAACUAGGGCUCUAGUUCUGGGUUAGGUGGCUUGUCCAAGGUCACAGAGCUGGCCAUACCCAGCUGUGUAUUGGGCUGCUGAGUAUGAGGCUGUUUGGGGUGGGCCUUGAGCCUGAGCCUGUUCUGAGCUUUGUGUGUGUGUGUGUGUGUGUGUGUGUGUGUGUUUGGUGGCUUCCUAGGGGAUUUCUGCCUGCAUUCCAACCAGCAGGUCCUUCCAGGCACCCCUCCCCUCCUUUACAGGGCUUCUUCCCUUCCUGCAGCUCCUUUCAGCCCCUGCUUUCUUGCCCCAAGCCUGGAGAGGCCUGUGAGUGCAGUCCAGCUAACUUCCCUCCCCUGAGCUCAUGGGUCCCUGCCUGGGCUGAAGUCCACACCGGGAGCCCAAGGUGCCCCUGGAAGGCCCCCACCCUGGCCUCCGAGUGGUUCCUCUCCCCAGAGAUGUAAAUCCGGGCCCCAGAGUGGCCACACAGAACAUACAUCUUAAACAAACACUUCUCCUUGCUGUUUAUCUCCCUGGCCUUUAAACAAACUCUUUCAAAGGUUUCUGCUGAUAGGAGAGAUUUACUGAAAACCAUUCCUUGCUUAAAAGCCCUGGGUUUAUGCUGCUGGGGUGGGGGCAGUGGGGCCUUCAGGCCUGGGGUUUCUCUGCCUCCGGACCACAUGUUUAUCCUCCAGGCCUUGAUAGAGGAGCAACACAGACUAAUCUUUAUGGAAAAGAAAAUAAUAAAAGCAGGAAAGGGGAGGGGUGGAGGCUGGGGUGCGUUUGGUUCUUGUCACUGACUCCAAGAGGUUGUGGCAGGUCCGGGUGUGGCAGUGCCCACCACACUGUAGCCCUGCCUGUUGGGGGUGGGGUGAGCUGAGCAUCUGGGAGGGGUGGGGCUCCCUUGAACUUUGGACAGAAGGCCUUUGGGCAGGUGAGCCUCUUCUCCGGCUUCCAGAGGCCAGAGUGGGCCUCUCCCUGCUGGAUGGGGGUUGGAGGGAGGGCAGCAGUCACAUGAUCAUGUCUAUUCCUGCAUCAACCAACAGUCAGAAGGCACCUAGCCUGUGCCAGGACCUGGGGGUGGAGAGAGGAAUAGUUGUUAACAAUUACUUUAGCAUUUCUGUGGGCCUGGUACUGUUCUAAAUCGCUUACAUGAAUCAACUCAUUUAAUGGCCCCAGUAGAUUCUAUAAUUAUCCCAAUUUUGCAUAUGGGGAAACCAAGUCACAGAAAGAUUACUGGCUGUACUCCAGAGGUUUUGGUUUAACUGGGAUGCAGGCUGGGCAUUGGAUUCCAGGAUGCAUCCCAAGUGGAAAAAGAUUGACAUUCCCAUUUCCCACCCACUCCCCACUUGUCCUUCCAAUAAUACAGUAUCUCUUCCAUUUCAAGGCGUCUCACAAUUCAUUGACAGUGGUAUUUUUUUCUUAGUGGAUCGUAAAAUAAUGGUGCAUCUUACAGUCUUAGGUUCAACAAAAUAUAGUAAUAGAAAACUAACCUCUACCAACUGUGGGGACUGAGCUGGAUGAUUUGCAUCCAUUAUCUCAUUUAAUCCACCUCCCAAAGCUGCAACAUAGGUCACAGGAGCACCUCUGAUGAGAAAACUGAGGCACCAAGAAUUCAAUAACCUGCCCAAGAUCACCCAGCUGGUGGGAGGUGGAGGCAGGAUUUGAACCCACAGUUAAAUGGCCUAAUAUUUAUCCCCAACCCUUAUAGAGCACCUUAUAUGAUUCAAACUGUCUUCCGACCUGUUUUGUCCAUUGAGGAAGACGCUGAAAUCCAGAAAGUUUAAGUGACCUGCUCUAAGUUACACAUCUGACUUCUCAACCUAUAACUGUGGGAGAACCAUGGGAAGUGGGUUUCGUUGUUAUUAUUGUUGUUUGCUUGUCUUAAGCCUACCUGGGCUUUUAUAGCUAGAAGCCACUCCUAAGAGAACAUGACCAGGAAAGUGGGCCAGGGCCAGGGCAGGGGCCCCUGAGAGUAUGGGCCAUCCUGGGGUCUUGGGUGCUGAAGGUUGGAGCCAAGGCCUGUCGUGGGACCUCCCAAGGGCAGAGGACUUGAGCAGGGGCAGAUGUCAUUGCAAAGACUCCACUGACUUCCGUCUCUGUUUUGUUUGUGAAGCGAAGUUGCUGCAGUGGCAGGUGGGGAGGCAGCAGAAGGCCAGGUAGGAAUUUCCAGUCCUUCCCUGGGCCCAUAGCUCAGGCCGGAAGCCACUCCCUUCCUCCAUGUUUACAUGCAGCGGGCCACACCCCUUCAGAUGGCACAGACUGACACCCCCUUCCGGUCCCCCUGCUCCAGGCCAAAUACUUUUUCACUCACGUUAAAGCACCUUUCAGCACCUGGGCCCUGAGCUGGGGAGCAUUUCCAGGGAGGAAAGAAGGGAGAGGGUAUGAGGAGGAGGCUGGGGGUGGGUUGAGGGAAGGUGAGGAGCUGGGGGUAGUGGAGACUAGGAUGAAGUUAUGUGAGUGAUUGUCUUGCACCCAUCAUCUUUCUUUUUGUAUUAUUCUUUCCUUAUAUAGUGACAUCCAGUUUCCAAAACCUUUCCUUCCUCCUAGCAACUCUUACCCUAAGAUACUUAAUUCACACCAAGGUAAACACGACUAAUAACAGCUUCCAAAGUGAUCCUUUCAAGGGCAUUUUGGCAGUGGCCUCUUUAUUUGUUCAUUCAUUCUUUGAUUUCCUCAACAAUUUCCUUUGGCAUUCCUGGAGACCCUCCAUCCUAUCUCGAAGGCUUAGCUGGGACACCUCUAAGCUGUUUGGUGGGCUGCUGUCCAAACUCUGGGCUUUGUGGGUAGUGGCAUCCACACCCUCUGACAGCAUGUAGGUAUAUUGGCAGCAACCCAAGCUGUCUUUUUUGCACCUUCAAUGGAAGGAAAGGCAAUUUCUCCUCAUGAAAAAAGUUUGGGAGACUUUACCUAAAUGUAAAGGGAGGUGCUUUAAUGAUAUAUCUCCAGGAAUCAAACCCAUCAGUCCAUCUGAGUUUGGUCAUGGGCUGAGCUCCCCAGGGCAGCUGGGCAGGAGCCCUUCCAGGACAUCAGAACUUGGGGUAGAAUUUCCACCCCACUGGCCCUCAGGGCUCUGCAUAGAUUUCUCUCUCUGUCCUUCUUGGUAGGGAAGUGGCUGAUCAUGAGGAAGACCCUGAGCUCAGAGCUGGAAGAUAUCCAGGGACCCAUCCACCCAGUAGUUUGCAGAGGACAAAAUGACUCAAAAGUAUACCGAAAUCCAAAAUAUAAAACAGCUAAGAGUUAAAGCUCCAGUUGAAGGCAAAGGUCUAGACCCUGCCUCCUCUGCUCUCCCACUUGGCCCAUAAGUGGUCCAAAGCUUCUCUGUGGACCUCCAAAGCUCAGGAGAACACGAAUAGAAUCCACUGAGCCAGUCUAGUGAUCCAUUUUAUAGACAAAGAAACUGAGUCAGAGCAUGAUGGGAUGGAUGUGAGUCCUUAGGGGCCUCCACCCUUCCAUGAUCACUUCUGGCUCAUGUUCAUUCCCUGGACUCAUAAUGUACCCUUCUUUCUAACUUGACCUGCACAAUUCUACGGACUCUUCAGGCUCAGCUCAAAUGUCACCCUCCACCAUGGAGCGUUCCUCAAUUCUCUCCUCCAGUUCUGGCCCUACUCCCACCCAGUUCGGUGUUCCUGGAGCUCACUGCUUUUGCAUCUCUCUUAAGUUCAACCUCUCAUUUCUGCCCAUUUGAAGCAGCUCUUUUCUCCCUUGUCAGGCUGUUGGUCUCCUUGAGGUCAGGAGGUUUUUAAAAAAUCCCAAGCCUCCAGCCCAUGAGUAGGUGUGCAAUCACAGUGAGGCUGCUGACAUGUUUUCUUGGGUGAUGGUGAGAUGCUUUGCCCACUGGGGUCAGGGUCUCCCUACUGGACGGCCCUAGUUCUCAUCAAUUUGGUGGGGAGGGCAUAGAGUUUGAUUAAACAGUUACUUGGAUACCUGAAGUAGGGCAGGGAAGGGGAUACAGAACCUUCAGAGCCUGGGGAGGAGGGACCCUUCUGCUCUAAAUUGUCCACUCGCUCCAUCCUCAAGAAGAUGGAGAGCAGAAACAGGGGCAGGGGAAGAGAGCUGGGCCCCGCACACUUCCCACCAUCACUGAUUUCCCUCUUCUCUGGCAUUUUAAGAGCUCAGACUCAAACCCUUCAAGGGCUUUUGAAACAAUUAGAUUUGAAAGUGCCCAGUGCUUGGUCUAAUUGCUUAAAAGCCACUUCAGGCUUCAACUGACCCAGAGUAAAGCCUGGGGGGUGGGUAGAGGGGAGGGGAGACCCGAGACACUCUGUCGCCCUGUUUCCCAGGCCUUCCUGGACAACCAAGGCCUAGGUGAGUGGUGAUGCCAAAUAAGGGCCUUCAACUUUUCCCGGGGGGGCAGAGCCACCAUACUCUUCCUGCCCCUUUCCCAGCCCUUGCCCCCAGGGAACCGCUCACAUCUAACCUUUCUCUAAGAUACCUUCUCACGCAAAUUCCAGCAUUCCUAGGGGUGAUUGGAGCACUUAUGUCCAGAACCAAUUUUCAGUGUCAAAAAGUGGACUGAGCCAGUGUAAAGAGGCCGAGAAGUAUCAGGAGACAAGCCUUGGUGUGUCCAACUCAAGAUGAUGCUUUGCUUCUGGGAUAUUCUGAGAUUGGGGAUUUUGCAAUCUCUAAGUCAGUUCCAUCUCUCCAUGCUUUCGUGAUUACUCUUCUCCCAAGUUCUUUUUUUUUUUUUUUUGAGACAGAGUCUUGCUCUGUCACCCAGGCUGGAGUGCAGUGGCGCGAUCUCGGCUCACUGCAAGCUCCGCCUCCCAGGUUCACACCAUUCUCCUGCCUCAGCCUCCCGAGUAGCUGGGACUACAGGCACCCGCCACCAGGCCCAGCUAAUUUUUUUGUAUUUUUAGUAGAGACGGGGUUUCACCAUGUUAGCCAGGAUGGUCUCGAUCUCCUGACCUUGUGAUCUGCCCGUCUUGGCCUCCCAAAGUGCUGGGAUUACAGGUGUGAGCCACCGCA